rnacentral:misc_RNA from 1 species
UCCCCGUUACCGGGGCAGUCUUGCAAGACAAAUCUAACUUGCAACGAGGGUUGCGCUCGUUAAGGGACUUAACCCUACAUCUCACGACACGAGCUGACGACGGCCAUGCAUCACCUGUCAUUCCAGCCUCUUGCGAGGUACAUCCGCCUUUCAGCGGACUCAGGAAGAUGUCAAGCCUUGGUAAGGUUCUGCGCGUGCCAUCGAAUUAAACCGCACGCUCCACCGCUUGUGCGGGUCCCCGUCAAUUCCUUUGAGUUUUAAGCUUGCGCUCGUACUCCCCAGGCGGGAUGCUUAACGCGUUAGCUUCGCUACCGAACGGGUCGAUACGUCCAACAGCUAGCAUCCAUCGUUUACGGCGUGGACUAC